rnacentral:lncRNA from 1 species
AACCGCCCGCGCAGCUCACCAGGCUGCGCACGCGCCGGGGUGAUGGUCCCUGGGUCGCCGCGCUCGCUCGGCGGCAGAGAGGGAUCCUCGCCCGGCCCAGCUCUGACCGCGAGCUCUGAGGUGGCUGAGACGCUGCCCCUGCCUGUCUGCACCGACUGGAGAGACCGAGGCCCAUCAGCGUUCUGAGCCUGCCCCACCAGGAUUUCUCCUGUAUCAGCUCUUUCUGACUCACCCACUGGGUUCUGUUCCAAGAAGAUGAUUUCCCUACAUCUGGGUUCUGCUUUUUAGCCAUGCCUGUAAUUUCUGUUCUCAGUUCCAUGCUCAGAGAGACCACAGUGUUCUGCUUGGACUCCAGAACUCUGCCGUGGUCAGUUGGAAAACUUUCCUGGGGCAGAGAUUUGGGCAAUCACGAGGCUCAUUUGCAAUUACCACAAUUGAUCUGUGCCUUUCUAGACAGGGAUUUCAAUAGGAAAGAGGUAAGAAGUAGACCUUAAAGAAAGAAGCCUAUUCUUGAUAAGAAAAAGACCCCACCCAAUAUUUGUGAAAACACAUGCCUCCCAGGUUUUCAACUACUCCAUAAAAUUUGGGAGUUGCAAGACCUUGUCAGUGUCCGUCUUAUCCCUGGUGUUGGCACCUGGUCUGGCCCUCCGAGUUCUCCUCCACCAGUUCAGGGUAAGG